GUCAUUCGAGUUAGGAGAGUUACAUUUGACAAACAGCAUUCGACAACAUAAUAACAUUUCGUAAAACCUCAUACAUAGAUAAUAGACGGAGUAUUAUUGUUUUUCACGAUGGAACCAUUACCUGAAAUGAAACCCGAGUCCCUUGCUGGCAAGAAAAAGGCAAGGUCCUUUUCACCUGGGAAAUAUGACAUAUUAAUGGAGCCCCCAAUUAAACGUAUGCGACUUGAUGGAUCCUUAGAAGUGAAAAUAUAUGAUACAGGGUCUGAGAUAUUGGAAUCUCAUCCGAAAGGUAUAUUUGAUGGAGAGAUAAAUAAUGAUGAAACAAACAAACAAACUGAUUCAUUAUUGAGCCCUGAUCCCUGAUUUAUUUUCAAAAACUUGAGGAAUGUCCGAUUGAUUUUGAGUUACUGGUAAAUCAGAGGAAAUAAUGAAAUGGCACAUUUUAAUGUUUGAUCGGAUUCCUCGGUGACUUAGAAACAAUCAGACAAUCCGAUGAAAUAUUUGAGUGACAUCUUCCAGUAUUCUUAAGUUCCGAAUACUAGAGGGAAUCACUGAGAAAUUAGAUCGUUCAAAGCAUUAUUAAGUUCUAGUGAGGUGUCCGACUUCCAGUAUCCAUAAAAAUUUGUUUUUAUCGAAGAAUUUGCAAAAGCUGUUCUUAGAAUCUUGGGAUAAUAGCAAAAAAAUUGUAUAUUUUGUAAACUAUGAAAAUUCAAGAAUACUAUAUGCUGUAUGAACUUAAUAUGAAUUCAUAAUUUAAUUUAAUGCUGGUUAAUUGAUACUAUAUUGGCAAAUAAAAUAUGUUUUCAUUAAUAAAUUGAGUAAGCUUUAAAAAC